GUGACAUAAAUGGGGUGCUCUACAUACAGGGCUGAGAUGAUACCCAGGAGUUUUUCUCCGUACCUGAUUUGGAUAAUGCCAACGUAGGGAUUUUGAUCAUACACUACU
rnacentral:ncRNA from 1 species